rnacentral:rRNA from 1 species
UACGAAGGGGGCUAGCGUUGUUCGGAAUUACUGGGCGUAAAGCGCGCGCAGGCGGCUAUCCAAGUCAGUGGUGAAAGCCCGGAGCUCAACUCCGGAACUGCCAUUGAAACUGUUUAGCUUGAGUACGAGAGAGGUGAGUGGAAUUCCCAGUGUAGAGGUGAAAUUCGUAGAUAUUGGGAAAAACACCAGUGGCGAAGGCGGCUCACUGGCUCGUAACUGACGCUCAGGCGCGACAGCGUGGGGAUCAAACAGG